UACGAAGGGGGCUAGCGUUGCUCGGAAUCACUGGGCGUAAAGCGCACGUAGGCGGAUUGCUAAGUCAGGGGUGAAAUCCUGGAGCUCAACUCCAGAACUGCCUUUGAUACUGGCGACCUUGAGUCCGGGAGAGGUGAGUGGAACUGCGAGUGUAGAGGUGAAAUUCGUAGAUAUUCGCAAGAACACCAGUGGCGAAGGCGGCUCACUGGCCCGGUACUGACGCUGAGGCGCGAAGGCCGGGGGAGCGAACGGG
rnacentral:rRNA from 1 species